rnacentral:misc_RNA from 1 species
UAAAAAUAAAAAAUAAAAAAAUGCGUGAUUUGUGUGCGAUAGGUCCAUAGUUUUACCAAGGUAAGUUUCGCCACUAGCUUGUCUAACGCAGGUGAAAUUUUGGUCUAGAAAAUUUCCAAUGCCAUUGCGUGCACAAAUAGCGAUACGACUAUUCCAAUGUAUAUAGCCAUAGUUUGGCCCCCUGAUUUCCCCAUGCCUAAAAUGGAAUUCUUUCCCGGUCACAAUAUCAAAAGUUCUUCAUUCAAGCUCUAAGAAGAAUAGGCAUCUGGAUUCGAUCAUUUCUCUUCAACAGCAUUAGAUCCAUGAAUAAGUUAAUCUUUUGUUUGUAUUCCUAUUUGCUCUAGUAAGA